CAAUGUGACACGGGGUGCACCCCGAAGUGGUGCUGAGAUCAGACCCGUCGAACCUGCUCUAGCUCAACCUAGCGAAGGGAUGUCCCACAUGAAUGCA
rnacentral:ncRNA from 2 species